rnacentral:rRNA from 1 species
GACGAACGCUGGCGGCGUGCUUAACACAUGCAAGUCGAACGGUGAGGCCCUGCUUUGCUGCGGUGCUCGAGUCGCGAACGGGUGAGUAACGCGUGGGUAACCUGCCCGUGACUGUGGGAUAACUUCAGGAAACUAUAGCUAAUACCGUAUAAGCGUUGCUGCUGCAUGGUGUGUGAUGAACAGGUGCGGCCGCUGCAGAUCGACUCGCGGCUGAGCAGCUUGUUGGCGGAGGAGUGGAUUAGCCAUGCUUUGACGGGUAGCCGGCCUGGGAGGGUGACCGGCCACAUUGGGACUGAGGUACGGCCCAUACUCCUACGGGAGGAAGCAGUGGGGAAUAUUGCACAAUGGGCGGAAGCGGGAUGCAGCAACGCCGGGUGCGGGAUGACGGCCUUCGGGUUGUAAACAGCUUUCGACCGUGACGAAGCGUGAGUGACGGUAAUGUGUAAAGAAGCACCGGCUAACUACGUG